rnacentral:tRNA from 1 species
GUGGGUAUAGCUCAGCUGGUUAGAGCGCCAGAUUGUGGCUCUGGAGGUCAUCGGUUCGAAUCCGAUUAUCCACCCCA